UCGAGAAUCUUCGGCAAUGGGCGCAAGCCUGACCGAGCGACGCCGCGUGCGAGAUGAAGGCCCUCGGGUUGUAGAUCGCUGUCAGUGGGGAGGAAAUGCCGGUGGGUUCUCCCAUCGGUUUGACCUAUCCGCAGAGGAAGGACCGGCUAACUCCGUGCCAGCAGCCGCGGUAAUACGGAGGGUCCGAGCGUUAUCCGGAUUUAUUGGGUUUAAAGGGUGCGUAGGCGGUUUUAUAAGUCAGCGGUGAAAUUUUCCGGCUCAACCGGGAUACUGCCGUUGAUACUGUAAGGCUAGAGGACUGGAGAGGGGACUGGAAUUCUCGGUGUAGCAGUGAAAUGCGUAGAUAUCGAGAGGAACACUCGUGGCGAAGGCGAGUCUCUGGACAGUUCCUGACGCUGAGGCACGAAGGCCAGGGUAGCGAAAG
rnacentral:rRNA from 1 species